GAUGAACGCUGGCGGCGUGCCUAAUACAUACAAGUCGAGCGAACGGACGAGAAGCUUGCUUCUCUGAUGUUAGCGGCGGACGGGUGAGUAACACGUGGAUAACCUACCUAUAAGACUGGGAUAACUUCGGGAAACCGUAGCUAAUACCGGAUAAUAUUUUGAACCGCAUGGUUCAAAAGUGAAAGACGGUCUUGCUGUCACUUAUAGAUGGAUCCGCGCUGCAUUAGCUAGUUGGUAAGGUAACGGCUUACCAAGGCAACGAUGCAUAGCCGACCUGAGAGGGUGAUCGGCCACACUGGAACUGAGACACGGUCCAGACUCCUACGGGAGGCAGCAGUAGGGAAUCUUCCGCAAUGGGCGAAAGCCUGACGGAGCAACGCCGCGUGAGUGAUGAAGGUCUUCGGAUCGUAAAACUCUGUUAUUAGGGAAGAACAUAUGUGUAAGUAACUGUGCACAUCUUGACGGUACCUAAUCAGAAAGCCACGGCUAACUACGUGCCAGCAGCCGCGGUAAUACGUAGGUGGCAAGCGUUAUCCGGAAUUAUUGGGCGUAAAGCGCGCGUAGGCGGUUUUUUAAGUCUGAUGUGAAAGCCCACGGCUCAACCGUGGAGGGUCAUUGGAAACUGGAAAACUUGAGUGCAGAAGAGGAAAGUGGAAUUCCAUGUGUAGCGGUGAAAUGCGCAGAGAUAUGGAGGAACACCAGUGGCGAAGGCGACUUUCUGGUCUGUAACUGACGCUGAUGUGCGAAAGCGUGGGGAUCAAACAGGAUUAGAUACCCUGGUAGUCCACGCCGUAAACGAUGAGUGCUAAGUGUUAGGGGGUUUCCGCCCCUUAGUGCUGCAGCUAACGCAUUAAGCACUCCGCCUGGGGAGUACGACCGCAAGGUUGAAACUCAAAGGAAUUGACGGGGACCCGCACAAGCGGUGGAGCAUGUGGUUUAAUUCGAAGCAACGCGAAGAACCUUACCAAAUCUUGACAUCCUUUGACAACUCUAGAGAUAGAGCCUUCCCCUUCGGGGGACAAAGUGACAGGUGGUGCAUGGUUGUCGUCAGCUCGUGUCGUGAGAUGUUGGGUUAAGUCCCGCAACGAGCGCAACCCUUAAGCUUAGUUGCCAUCAUUAAGUUGGGCACUCUAAGUUGACUGCCGGUGACAAACCGGAGGAAGGUGGGGAUGACGUCAAAUCAUCAUGCCCCUUAUGAUUUGGGCUACACACGUGCUACAAUGGACAAUACAAAGGGCAGCGAAACCGCGAGGUCAAGCAAAUCCCAUAAAGUUGUUCUCAGUUCGGAUUGUAGUCUGCAACUCGACUACAUGAAGCUGGAAUCGCUAGUAAUCGUAGAUCAGCAUGCUACGGUGAAUACGUUCCCGGGUCU
rnacentral:rRNA from 1 species